GACGAACGCUGGCGGCGUGCUUAACACAUGCAAGUCGAGCGAGAACCGGACCUUCGGGUCCGGGGAAAGCGGCGAACGGGUGAGUAACACGUGGGUAAUCUGCCCUCGGCAUCGGGAUAGCCCGGGGAAACCCGGAUUAAUACCGGAUAGCCUCCGAAGCCCUCGGGCUUCGGAGAAAAGGUGGCUUCGGCUUCCGGCUGAGGAUGAGCUCGCGGCGGAUUAGCUUGUUGGGGAGGCAACGGCUCACCAAGGCGACGAUCCGUAGCUGGUCUGAGAGGACGAUCAGCCACACUGGGACUGAGACACGGCCCAGACUCCUACGGGCGGCAGCAGUGGGGAAUCUUGCGCAAUGGGCGAAAGCCGGACGCAGCGACGCCGCGUGCGGGAAGAAGGCCUUCGGGUUGUAAACCGCUUUCAGGAGGGACGAAGCCACUCGGGUUAACAGCCCAGAGGGUGACGGUACCUCCAGAAGAAGCCCCGGCUAACUACGUGCCAGCAGCCGCCGUAACAC
rnacentral:rRNA from 1 species